AUUUUGUGUUCCAAAAAGCUUACAGGAAAGACCACACUUCCCCGUAUGACUUCGAACAGACUUCGGGGUGUCCCUUAAUAUGACUUUGUCAUACUCAGACCCUCCCAGUUACUAUUCUUUGCCUCAUAAAUGGUUAGCUGAACUGUUUUUUCCUGGAUCUUUGGGAACAAAAUUAAUUUCUGCUUUAGCUUCUCUCCUUCCUGCAGGAUCCCUGAGCUUUGGCCCUCCUCAGCCUCUGCCAGCACACAGCCUGGCAUCAGGGUCAGACUCUUCGGAUCUGCUACCCAUGGCACCGUCCUCUCAUGCACUUCCCACACCUGGUCCCCUAGGCUAGUGUCUCCUCUUUAUUAAAGGAAAUUUGCCAAGGAUGAGGGUGCUGCUGUCAGUGAUAGAGCACUUGCCCAGCAUAUGCAAGGCUCUGGGUUCAACCCCCAGUACUACCAAAACAAACAAAGAGAAAUGAGGAAAGCCUGUUUGGCCUAAUCCCUGAGACCCUUGCGGAUUUCAGGGUCAGAGCAAUCUGCCUGUGGUAUUGAAAGAAAGUGAACUUGUGGCGCUGGGGUUGUGGCUCAGUGAUAGAGCACUCACCUCACACGUGCAAGGCCCUGGGUUCGAUCCUCAGCACCACAUAAAAAUAAAUAAAAUAAAGUUAUUGUGUAAAACUACAAAAAAAAUAUAUUAAAAAAGAAAAAAAGAGAGUGAACUUGAGGCUCCCACCUGAAAUUGGGAAUGGUUUUCUUAUACUGAGAGCGAAGAUUGCCCAUUGGGGUCGUCUAAUGCAGGCUGACUAUGCCAAUCUCCCAACAUUUGUCACUCCCUGCCUCUUCUUUCAAAGUUCUGCUAAUUGUCAGAAAUUUUGAAGCUAGAACAUGGGGAACAAUUAAGUUUCUUCUAUCUUCCUUCAAAACUGGCUUUGAGGACUGGGGCUAGGGCUCAGUGGCAGAGCACUCGCCAAGCAUGUGUGAAGCACUGCUCAGCACCACAUAAAAUUAAAAUGAAGAUAUUAUGUCCACCUAAAAAUAAAAAAUAAAAGUAAAAGUUUAUCUUAAAAAAAAACAACUGGGGGCUGGGGGUGUGGCUCAGGUGGUAGCGCGCUCGCCUGGCAUGCGGGGGCGUUGGGUUCGAUCCUCAACACAACAUUAAAAUAAAAUAAAGAUGUUGUGUCCACCGAAAACUAAAAAAAAUAAAAAUAAAUAAAAUCUACUUUACUACCAAUUUGACUCCAAAUAUUCAAAUAUUUUUGGAGCAGUGAGAGUGAUAGCCUAACUUCUUUCUCCCUAAGCAGUAUUAGAGCCAAGCCAGCCAGGAGCAGUACCCUAUCCUGUUCUUGAACAGAUAGCUCAGACCAGCAGGGAUCUCUGCAAAGAGGGCCGAAGGAUGAGACAUUGACAACUAACCCAGCCUACAGAUGGAUCUCAGGGGGAAUUUCUAGCAUCUGCCUGGAGAUACUUAAAUCAUACAGGAUUUAUCCAUUUCCAUUCUACUGUAACCUCAACUUCUAAAAAUUAAUUAAUGAGGAAAAUAGAUGAUGGGAAGUGUCAAUGAGCCGUAUUGUUAGUAGCCCCAUAAAGGAGCACACUGAGGAUUUUAUUGAUGCUGAUUGAGGUUUUGGACAUUGAGUGGGUCAUCUUGUGGUAUUGGCUAUCUGUCAUCUAGGCUGUUUGCUGUGGAACCUAAGCUGUUUGGGGCUCAAGUGAGCCAUUUGGAGCUUAAGCUGUUUGGGAUUUGAGUGACCAUUUGCCCUUUGGGUCUUGGUCAAUGAGAUAAACUUCAGAAGUUGUAAAAAUUUUCCAACACUUACAUUGAUUUGGUGAGUGUACUUUUUAUUCAUUGGAAGAUCACAUCAUGGCCUUCAUAUCCAACGGUGCAGCUGUUUCAUGUUUAUUAACUCAACAGUUGGCUUCAACAGGCUGUAUUCUAACGGCUGCAGCAACAGGUUUUCCUACCAACAUAGGGAAUUCCAUUUCAGAAGAACGUACCCUUUUCCUGGGUUGGAAGAAGCUUUGGAAAACUUGUCCAGAGGGUGCACGAUAAGGGUGCGGUCAUCCUGCACCUUGAGCUAGCCUUUUGGCUCUUUCCACGACACAUAGACAGAUUCCUCGGCCCACUGGUGAACCAGCAGGAAGGAAUUCCAAACAGCAUCCUGUUUUACUGACCCAGAUCAUUUCAUGAGCAUGGUCUUUGCUUCAGUCAUCAGAUGGGCCUUGAUAGAAAGAAAUAGACUAAAUUGAGCUGCAGUCACACUAUUUUACACCCUUGGUUCCCCCGCCCCUGGGAAGGAAGGUUUUAAAUUUUCACUCUCUGAUGCGUUUUUCUGUCUCUGAAAAAGAAAUUCACUCUUGGGCUGGGGCUGGGGCUCAGUGGCAGAGCGCUUGCCUAGCAUGCGUGAGGCCCUGGGUUCGAUCCUCAACACCACGUAAAGAUAAACAAAUAAAAUAAAGGCAUUCUGUCCAUCUGCAACUAAUUAAAUUUUAAAAAAGAAAAAAAAAAAGAAACUUACUCUUCAAGUUUUGCUAACCUUAGUCUUUAAGAUAUAAAUUUUGUGCCUGGCUUUUAAAACUAACAAACGUAAAUCUAAGCUUUAAUAUUUUUUUCUAUGUAGAUAUAGGUUUAUAUGCUUAUAUAUUAUCUGUUUGCAUGAUACUAAAUUGUAAUAAGUAAUUUAAACUUGUUUGUAAUAAGAAUGUCUUUAAAUCUAUUUAAAAUCUACUAACUCAUUUCCUUAGCCUGCUAACCAGUGGGAUAUUUAUCUCUAGAUAUUUGAGAUAUGGUGUUCAGUGUUUUCUAUGUACAACAACCUCUUGUGACCUUUUUGGCAAAGAAAUAAUUUAAAAUGUUAACUAUGGCUACAUUCAUUAAUAAUCUAAAGCUAACUAUUAAAAUAAGUAAAUUAAAUACACAGGACAGGCAUUUUUGUAUCUUUAGAAAUGUAGCUUUUUGGUAAUUUGUUUUUGUACGAAAAUAUUAAUUCAGAGUUUUUCAUACCUCAGAAAUGUGUUUUCUUUUAAUAAGUGUAUAAUGCUUAUAUCUAUAACAUUAAUGGUUUGUCUGAAUUAUUAAUUGUUCAGUAGAUUUGGAAAAUCACAUAUGAGCUUGUAUCUAGGCCCAAGAUAAGUCAAAUAGCAAAUGAUUUUUAAUGCCUAUGACCUUCAUAUAGCUUCUGUUUCUGUAAUAACUUCAUUUUAUAAUGUGCCAGAAAUUGUGACGUUUUAUUAUUUUCAUCAUGGUCGUUAAUUAUUCAUAAAUUAACUAUCAGUCAGCAAGGUGCAUUAUUGCCUUCUUAAAAUGUUAAAUGGAUUUUAUGCUGUGUCUCAUGUCCAAAAUCUAGUAAUGCUUAAGUUCUAGAGGAACUAAAAAUAAUUUUUAAAAUGCAUGGGAUCUAAGAGUUUGGUAAUGACUGAACUGCUCUUAGUAAAGUUUACAAAAAACUGGCUUAAAAACAAAGAUUUUUAUGUUUUAUUUAGAUAAUUUUCUAUGUUUUCUGAUGAUUUUAGUUUUUAUAUUAUUGCUUAAAAGAAAAUUAAGUUCUACAAGAAUUAAGAUUUAUUCCAAUCUCCAUUUGUUCUACAGUCUUGUGAUUCGUAACUGCUUAAUAGAUCUACUAUCUUUACAAUGAUAUCUCAUGUUUUAUUGAUACAAAUGCUCUAAAGCUUAAAAAAUUUGAUGCUCUGAAUAUAAUGCUGUAAAUCAUGAUUGUUAUCUUAACAUACUGUGGAGGUAACUAAAUUGUUUUGUUUAAUUGCUAAGUCUUGUAAGAAGUAAUACCAUCUGUAUUGUUUGUGGUCAUUUUUACAUCACGUGAGCCACGUCCCUAUGGUUAAUAUAGGUGGCCUUGCUUGACUCAUCCUCCACCUCAAGACAGACUUAGAUUUCAACACAGGAUACAUGUGAGACAGGCUAUUUCACAAGAGGUUUUCUCAAUUGAACUGUUUACAUUGUGACUUGUUCUACAAAGUACACUGGAGUAUAUAUUUAUGUUCUUAAUUGGUGGAAUGACAGUAAUUCUUAUCAUCUGUGUUCAAAAUUUGUGCAGUUCUGUAAAAUAUUUUGGGGUGGUAGUGGUGGUACCAGGGAUUGAACUCAGGGGCACUCAAACACUGAGCCACAUCCCCAGCCCUGUUUUGUAUUUUAUUUAGAGACAGGGUCUCAGUAGUUUAGUGCCUUGCUUUUGCUGAAGCUGGCUUUCAAUUUGGAAUCCUCCUGCCUCAGCCUCCUGAGCUGCUGGGAUUACUGGCGUGCACCACCGUGUCCAGCCCGCUGUAAAAUGUACCUCAAUUCUAAAGAUACUUUCCCUCAUUUCCUCUUUUGUGUUUCCCCUUGGUUUGCGUGGGAAGCAUUCUGAUUGGCUGCUCGCCAAUCAGUGCAGAUCUGGCAGGACUGCUUCUUAUAGACAAAUUGCGUUUCUUUGGAUUAAUUCAAAUCAGUCAUACAAACCAAGUACUUUGCUUGUAUUCGUGGCUUGCAUUUUUCUGACCUAAGAGCUAAUCUUUCCAAAACCAUCUGUUGCUUCAAAUUGGCUAAAAUAGGGGGGUCUUUGGAUGCUAACUUAAACUGCCUGUCACCUUCCCUCUGUCGUGGGACCAUGUAGAUCAAAGAAUGGGAAGAGCCCCUGCUACAUGGAAGCCCAGGUGCUUGGCAGAGUCAAUAGAGUUUUCAGGGAGAAUCGUUCAGAUGGAGGAGAGUCACGUGGAGUUACUUGUCAAACCCUCCCAAGAGCUGGGAGGCUGUGGAAGGAGCACCUCUGUAGACGAACAUAAAGCCUUUCUCGCAGGCAGAGCUAUUAAAUAUUUCAGAAUUUGCCUCUUUCAGGAGUAAGCAGCUGACAGCUUGUGUCUGAGCUAUGCACAGCAGUCCAGCAACGGACUGCCAGCCAGCCAGGUGACCUGGAUGCCCCAUUUGCCCCAAGAUGAGGGGUGAACUCAACAGGCAUUUGAACCGACUGAACUGGGUCCCCAUCUGAAACUGGGAGUGAUUUCCUCAUGCUGAGAGUGGAGGCGGAGGCUGUGACCUCCCACCCUGACCGGUGAGGCCUGUCCAGCGCCAGCUGGCCAGAGUGCACGUGUACCUUUGGUCACUUCUGGUCUCUUCUCCUUUAAAAGUUCUGCUAAUUUUCAGGGAUUUCAGAGAUGGGUUGUUUGAAACAAUUAAGUUUCUUCGUGUCUUCCUUCAAAACUGGCUUUGAGUAAGACCUAUUUUCUUAUCAGUUUGACUCCAAAUAUUUCUGGAGCAGUGAGUGUGAUAGCCUCACCUCCUUCAGGCACAAUUAGAGCCACGUGACAGUAUUACCAGUCUCCUCACCAUCCUCCUCACCACACUCCUCCCACUAAAAUCUCUUUCUUUUUUCUUUUCUUUCUUUCUUUUUUUUUUGCAAUGCCAGGAUCACACCAGGGCCUUAGCCAGGUGUGGUGAUGCACUCCUGUAAUGCCAGCAACUUGGGAGGCUGAAGCAGGAGGAUUGUAAAUUUGAGGCUAGCCUCAGCAACUAGGUGAGACCCUACUCAACUUAGUGAGACCCUGUCUCAAAAUAAAAAAUAAAAAAAUUUUAAAAGGUGGGGCCCGAAGAUAUGUCUCAGUGGUCAGAUUCCCUUGGUUCAAUUACCAGUACAAAAAAAACCCAGACUCAGGGGUGCUUACCCACUGAGCCAUGCUGUACUGCUGAGCUGCACCCCUCACUCCAGAAUCUAUUAUUUUUUUUUGGCGGGGGGAGUACUGGGGAUUGAACUCAGGGCCACUCGACCACUGAGCCACAUCCCCAGCCCUGUUUUAUAUUUUAUUUAGAGACAGGAUCUCACUGAGUUGCUUAGGGCCUCACUUUUGAUGAGGCUGGCUUUGUACUUACCAUCCUCCUGCCUCAGCCUCUUGAGCCUCUGGGAUUACAGGCAUGAGCCACUGGGCCUGGCCUAUUGUUCUUUUUUUAGCAACCAGAAUAUAUCAAGAAUGUCAGGGGCUGAGGAUAAGGCUCAGUUGGUAGAGUGCUUGCCUAGCAUGCCCAAAGCCCUGGGUUCAAUCCCCAGCACCACCAAAAAAAGCAAAACAAAACAAAAGAAUGUUGGAAAAGUAAUUCAGCAAAUACAGAUUAGAAAAGUCCAUAGGUACAUGGUGUGAAUCCUCAAUUGAAAAACACGGCCCUAAAAGACGGUAGAUUCAUAUUAAAUGAGUAAAGUUGAAACCAACUUCACAUUUUAAAAACUAACAAAGCACGGCUACUGUCACUGUGCCGCUUUUGUUUAGUAUCAGGCAGAGCAGAAGCAGGCUCUGAUCAGCAGGACCGUGUCACUGUGUCACCGCCGCCAGGACCACAUUCCCCUCAGCAUGGAAGCAUAUCUGAGAGACCCAGUGGAUCCCAGCACCGCUCCUUCUACAAGGUGGAAGGACUAUGCUGUGCGGGUCUCCAGGGCCUGUGGGAAAUCUCCAGGGCUGUUUCAGGAAUGAAAGAUCCAUUCCGCAUUUGACUGGGGGAGGGCAGACUACCAAAAGCCACCCGGUUUCACUGAAGACAGGAUCAAGGGUUACUGAGACAAAUGCUGCCUACCCAGCCCUCACCCCUAGUGACUACGAUAGGUCACUCUGAAAAACACGGGAGCCAAUGCAACUAAAAACCACAGCCUCCUGCAAUCCUAGCCACUCGGGAGGCUAAGGCAGGAGGAUCACAAGUUCAAGGCCAGCCUCAGCAACUGAGUGAGACCCUAAGCACUUUAGUGAGACCCUGGCUCUCAAUAAAAUGUAAAAAAAGUUUGUGUGGGUGUGUGUGGGGGGGAUGCUGUGGGACUGCAUUCACACUUCCCCCUGAUUAAAAAAAAAAAAGGCUGGGGGUGGGGCUCAGCAGUUGACCCUGGGUUAAAUCCCCAGUAGCCCCCCACCAAAAAAUAACCUUACAUCUUCCAUAAUGCAAUAAAAUAUUGCCAUUUUAACAGAUAAAAGGCCAAAUUGCAGUUUUGUUUCUGUACAGUUCUUAAUACUAAAGUUCUUUUUGAAAGUCUUCCUAUCAUUCAUUGUUAAAAACCUCUAGCUAUAUAAAAUUUUAAUACUGUAUGUCACGUUGUGAUUUAAUGGGAUUUUGAUAAAAUGUACAUUAAUGAGUUUUAUAUCAGUUUAUGAAAUAAACAUGCUAUAUGUGAUUUCCUCAAAAAAAAGUCUUAUAAAGUUAUUAAACCUUAGCCAACUUUGAGCAUACAGAAUUCCUUCCCUAAACUUAUAGAUUUCUGUAGCUACAUCCAUACCCUAAUAGUGUAACUUUUCAAGGUGCCCCAAAUCAGUAUACUCAUUAAUGGACCCACAUAUGUUUACAUCAAACUAAAUUUAACCAGAGGAUACC
rnacentral:lncRNA from 1 species